rnacentral:rRNA from 1 species
UACGUAGGGUGCGAGCGUUAAUCGGAAUUACUGGGCGUAAAGCGUGCGCAGGCGGUUGGUUAAGUCUGAUGUGAAAGCCCCGGGCUCAACCUGGGAAUGGCAUUGGAAACUGGCUGGCUAGAGUGUGGCAGAGGGGGGUGGAACUCCGCGUGUAGCAGUGAAAUGCGUAGAGAUGCGGAGGAACACCGAUGGCGAAGGCAGCCCCCUGGGCUGACACUGACGCUCAGGCACGAAAGCGUGGGGAGCAAACAGG